rnacentral:rRNA from 1 species
GACGAACGCUGGCGGCGUGCUUAACACAUGCAAGUCGAACGGAAAGGCCCUGCUUUUGUGGGGUGCUCGAGUGGCGAACGGGUGAGUAACACGUGAGUAACCUGCCCUUGACUUUGGGAUAACUUCAGGAAACUGGGGCUAAUACCGGAUAGGAGCUCCUGCUGCAUGGUGGGGGUUGGAAAGUUUCGGCGGUUGGGGAUGGACUCGCGGCUUAUCAGCUUGUUGGUGGGGUAGUGGCUUACCAAGGCUUUGACGGGUAGCCGGCCUGAGAGGGUGACCGGCCACAGGGGAGCUGAGGCACGGCCAGGACGCGGGCGGGGGGGGGCAGGGGGGAAUAUUGGACAGGGGGGGGAAGCCGGAGGGAGGAACGGCGCGUGCGGGGUGAGGGCCUUGGGGAUGUAACCGGCGCUCGCCUGGGGCGAAGGGUGUGAGACGGGAGGGGGGAAAGAAGCACGGGGUAUCGACGACCCAGCAGGCGCGGAGAUGUGGAACAGCAGACGUCGGAAC